UGCUAUGAAGAACUAUGUGGGGCUGGGUAA
rnacentral:piRNA from 1 species